rnacentral:lncRNA from 1 species
AGAAAAUGCCCUGGUAGGUAUUAACUAUAAAAAUUUUUAAUGUUAGUGCAUUUGAUGUAUUCUUCCUAAUACAGCUUGCCAUUCUAAAUUAUGUAAGUUUGAAAAAAAUUUUUGGAAGUUAUUUUUAAAAUGUGAAUUGUGUAAAACAAAGAUUCAAUUUCAUUAAAAGCACAAACUGAUAUUGUGGCUCAGUGGUAGAAUGCUUACCUAGUAUGGGCAAGGCCCUGGUUUCAGACCCCAACAUUGCCGUAAAUACAUACAUACUUGCAUACAUAAAAAUUUAUAUUUUAUUUAUUCCCAUACUGUUUUAUUUUAGUGUUUCAUUUGUCUUCUAGUUUUCACUUAAUUUUUUUUUUAGUUGUAGAUGGACACAAUACCUUCAUUUUAUUUAUUUAUUUUUGUGUGGUGCUGAGGAUCGAACCCAGGAUCUCACACAUGCUAGGUGAGCGCUCUACCACUGAGCCACAAUUGCAGCCCCCCCCUCAGUUUUCACUUUUUUAAAAUACCAUUUUAAUAUGUUCAGUUCAGUGGCAUGGCUUAUAUUCACAAUUUCUUGCAGCCUUCAUAGUACUAUUUCCACAACUUUUCCAUCCCCAGGAGAAACUAUAGCCAUUAAAUAGUAACGUCUAUUCCCUCUCCCCACAGACCCUGGGACUCUUUAUACAUUGCAAACUGAAGCUCUGUAUUCAUUAAAAAGUAGUUUCCUAAUCCCCUCUCACCACCCUGAUACAUUUGCCUAUUCUAAAUAUAAAUGGAAUUAUGUGGUAUUUGUCCAGUUAUGUCUAGCUUAUUUCACUUACAAAGUGUCUUUAUGGUUCAUCAUGUUGUAGCAUGUAUCAGACUCUCAUUCCUUGUUAUGGCUGAAUAAUAUUUGUGUGGUGUGUGUGUGUGUGUGUGUGUGUGUGUGUACAUAUACAUACGGAUCGUAUCCAUUCAGCUAUUGAUGAACACAUGGGUUGUUUCUGCCUUUUGGCUCUUGUGAAUAAUGCUACAAUGAUAUUUGUGUACAUGUGUUCAUUCCAGAUGCUGUUUUCAACUUCUUUGAGUAUUUAUUUAGGAGUAAAAUUGCUGGGUCAUAUGAAAAUUUUUAUUUAUAUUUAUAUAUAUUUUAGAGACCACCCAGGUUUUUUUCUUCAUAGUAGUUGUACCAUUUUCCAUUCCCUCCGGCAGUGCACAGGAUUUUAAUUUCUCCAAAUCCUUGUUGAGUGCCUUGAUGUAUGCCUGCAACACAGAAGGCUAAGGCAGGAGGUUUGCAAGUUCUAAGCCAGUCUCAGAAAUUUAGCAAGACUCUCAGCAACUUAUUGAGACCCUGUCUCAAAAGUAAAAAAGACAGGAGAAAUAGUUCAGUGGUAUUAGGUUCAAUCACCAGAACCAAAAAAAAAAAAAAAAAAAAUUU